GAUGAACGCUGGCGGCGUGCCUAAUACAUGCAAGUCGAGCGAACAGACGAGGAGCUUGCUCCUCUGACGUUAGCGGCGGACGGGUGAGUAACACGUGGAUAACCUACCUAUAAGACUGGGAUAACUUCGGGAAACCGGAGCUAAUACCGGAUAAUAUAUUGAACCGCAUGGUUCAAUAGUGAAAGACGGUUUUGCUGUCACUUAUAGAUGGAUCCGCGCCGCAUUAGCUAGUUGGUAAGGUAACGGCUUACCAAGGCAACGAUGCGUAGCCGACCUGAGAGGGUGAUCGGCCACACUGGAACUGAGACACGGUCCAGACUCCUACGGGAGGCAGCAGUAGGAAAUCUUCCGCAAUGGGCGAAAGCUUGACGGAGCAACGCCGCGUGAGUGAUGAAGGUCUUCGGAUCGUAAAACUCUGUUAUUAGGGAAGAACAAAUGUGUAAGUAACUAUGCACGUCUUGACGGUACCUAAUCAGAAAGCCACGGCUAACUACGUG
rnacentral:rRNA from 1 species